GCCGGUGUGGCGGAAUGGUAGACGCGACGGACUUAAAAUCCGUUGUCCGCAAGGACGUGGGGGUUCGAGUCCCUUCGCCGGCA
rnacentral:tRNA from 2 species